GGGAAGGGCUCAUCUGACUUCUGGAAACCUAUGUUAAAAUACAGUGCUUUGAACCUUGAUCGUGGGCUAAUUAGGUUGGAAAUGAAACUAGAGACCAGAUACACCCAAGGAAACUUUUGGUAGUUAUUUUACUUUAUAAGUCACAGGAAAUGCUUGUGUACUUUCCUGUGUUCCUUAAAUAGUUGCACUUAAAUUACCUCUUUGAAACUGAAUGAAGAGACAGAGAGUAUUUUUUUUUCUUUCCAGAAAUAAUACUUGUUUAUACCUGUAAUAGCAAUGAAAUUUUGUUUCUUUUGAGACAGAGUUUUGCUCUGUCUCCCAGUCUGGAGUAUAGUGGCAGGAUCUCAGCUCACCUCCCGGGUUCAAGUGAUUCUCCUGCCUCAGCCUCCGAAGUAGCUGGGACUAUAGGUGCACUACCAUGCCCGGCUAAUUUUUGUAUUUUUAGUAGAGAAGGGGUUUCGCCAUGUUGGCCAGGCUGAUCUCGAACUCCUGACCUCAGGUGAUCUGCCCGCCUCGGUCUCCCAAAGUGCUGGGAUUACAGGCGUGAGCCACUGCUCCUGGCCAGCAGUGAAACUUGAGGCUAUGCGAAUGAAAGAUUGUUCUAAUAGUGUAAACUAUAAGGCGAGGAGGAUUAAAUAAAAAAACAGAGAUAGGCUCUCAAAGCACCAAAUAGUAUGAUUAACAGAUUCUUGUGUAUCACAUUUGAAAUGCUUUAUGUUUUGGCUUUAUGUUGAUGAGUUGAAAACCCGUGUUUUUGUUUAUGUUGUUUGGUUUUUGUUUUUGGCUAUCUUAUGUAGAAAGGCAUGUAAGGGAUGGCAUUGAUUAUUCUAAAUAAUUUUUACUGGGAAAGCUUUUCCAAGAUUUUGAAUAGCUAAAUGUCAACUUUUUUCUUAAUAGUAUUUUCAUCUCAGCCUAGUGACGAUGAAUCAAGUAGUGAUGAAACCAGUAAUCAGCCCAGUCCUGCUUUUAGACGACGCCGUGCUAGGAAGAAGACCGUUUCUGCUUCAGAAUCUGAAGACCGGCUAGUUGCUGAACAAGAAACUGAACCUUCUAAGGAGUUGAGUAAACGUCAGUUCAGUAGUGGUCUCAAUAAGUGUGUUAUACUUGCUUUGGUGAUUGCAAUCAGCAUGGGAUUUGGCCAUUUCUAUGGCACAAUUCAGAUUCAGAAGCGUCAACAGUUAGUCAGAAAGAUACAUGAAGAUGAAUUGAAUGAUAUGAAGGAUUAUCUUUCCCAGUGUCAACAGGAACAAGAAUCUUUUAUAGAUUAUAAGUCAUUGAAAGAAAAUCUUGCAAGGUGUUGGACACUUACUGAAGCAGAGAAGAUGUCCUUUGAAACUCAGAAAACGAACCUUGCUACAGAAAAUCAGUAUUUAAGAGUAUCCCUGGAGAAGGAAGAAAAAGCCUUAUCCUCAUUACAGGAAGAGUUAAACAAACUAAGAGAACAGAUUAGAAUAUUGGAAGAUAAAGGGACAAGUACUGAAUUAGUUAAAGAAAAUCAGAAACUUAAGCAGCAUUUGGAAGAGGAAAAGCAGAAAAAACACAGCUUUCUUAGUCAAAGGGAGACUCUGUUGACAGAAGCAAAGAUGCUAAAGAGAGAACUGGAGAGAGAACGACUAGUAACUACGGCUUUAAGGGGGGAACUCCAGCAGUUAAGUGAUAGUCAGUUACAUGGCAAGUCAGAUUCUCCCAAUGUAUAUACUGAAAAAAAGGAAAUAGCAAUCUUACAAGAAAGACUCACUGAGCUGGAACGGAAGCUAACCUUUGAACAGCAGCGUUCUGAUUUGUGGGAAAGAUUGUAUGUUGAGGCAAAAGAUCAAAAUGGAAAACAAGGAACAGAUGGAAAAAAGAAAGGGGGAAGAGGAAGCCACAGGGCUAAAAAUAAGUCAAAGGAAACAUUUUUGGGUUCAGUUAAGGAAACAUUUGAUGCCAUGAAGAAUUCUACCAAGGAGUUUGUAAGGCAUCAUAAAGAGAAAAUUAAGCAGGCUAAAGAAGCUGUGAAGGAAAAUCUGAAAAAAUUCUCGGAUUCAGUUAAAUCCACUUUCAGACACUUUAAAGAUACCACCAAGAAUAUCUUUGAUGAAAAGGGUAAUAAAAGAUUUGGUGCUACAAAAGAAGCAGCUGAAAAACCAAGAACAGUUUUUAGUGACUAUUUACAUCCACAGUAUAAGGCACCUACAGAAAACCAUCAUAAUAGAGGCCCUGCUAUGCAAAAUGAUGGAAGGAAAGAAAAGCCAGUUCACUUUAAAGAAUUCAGAAAAAAUACAAAUUCAAAGAAAUGCAGUCCUGGGCAUGAUUGUAGAGAAAAUUCUCAUUCUUUCAGAAAGGCUUGUUCUGGUGUAUUUGAUUGUGCUCAACAAGAGUCCAUGAGCCUUUUUAACACAGUGGUGAAUCCUAUAAGGAUGGAUGAAUUUAGACAGAUAAUUCAAAGGUACAUGUUAAAAGAACUGGAUACUUUUUGUCACUGGAAUGAACUUGAUCAGUUCAUCAAUAAGUUUUUCCUAAACGGUGUCUUUAUACAUGAUCAGAAGCUCUUCACUGACUUUGUUAAUGAUGUUAAAGAUUAUCUUAGAAACAUGAAGGAAUAUGAAGUAGAUAAUGAUGGAGUAUUUGAGAAGUUGGAUGAAUAUAUAUAUAGACACUUCUUUGGUCACACUUUUUCCCCUCCAUAUGGACCCAGGUCGGUUUACAUAAAACCGUGUCAUUACAGUAGUUUGUAACAUUUGUAGAUUGGAUAGCAUUUUUAUGAUUUGAUGAGUUUCUUGUAAGGUUACCGUUUCUAAGAGUUGUGCUUUAUUGCCACUGAGAGAAUUCAGAAUAAAUUGAAAGAUGGAGUCUAAAAAUUAUUAGCUGUUACAAAUGGAACAUUUCAUUAUAACGUGAUCACUUUGACUUGAGCAAAUGGUUUAAUUUUUAUCUUAAAAAUCAGUUAAGAAUAUAUAAAAUCCUACUUUGGCCAAGUUUGUUUCUUUUCAUUAUAGUUUAUAUGAAAAGAUCACCUUAAGUGAAAUUAUUUUCCUUUAAUCUUUUAUGUAUUUAUUCACUUUUGGAAGCUAGGAAUGAGCAACACAAAUUUUACUCUGAAGUCAGAAGAGCUCAUAUAUAAUAAUUCUAAUGUCCCACCUAUUUUCACUUGUCCAUUCCAUGUACCAGCUUAGUUAUGAUACUUAGUCACAUAAUUAUCUUUGAUAAAGGUAGAGGCACAAAGAGGCAAACUAAGCAAGUCAAAUUCUAAUGUGUGUACUUCAUAAUAAUUUUUUAUCCAUUUUCAUCUUUAUAUUCUGUAACAUGAAACUUACCUAAUCUUCAAAUGUUAGCUUCAUUUUUUACCUUUGAAAUACUUAAUCUUUCUGAAUAAAUAUAAUGUGUCUAUAAAAUAA
rnacentral:sRNA from 1 species